rnacentral:rRNA from 1 species
GUGGGGAAUAUUGGACAAUGGGCGAAAGCCUGAUCCAGCCAUGCCGCGUGUGUGAAGAAGGUCUUCGGAUUGUAAAGCACUUUAAGUUGGGAGGAAGGGCAGUAAGUUAAUACCUUGCUGUUUUGACGUUACCGACAGAAUAAGCACCGGCUAACUUCGUGCCAGCAGCCGCGGUAAUACGAAGGGUGCAAGCGUUAAUCGGAAUUACUGGGCGUAAAGCGCGCGUAGGUGGUUCAGCAAGUUGAAGGUGAAAUCCCCGGGCUCAACCUGGGAACUGCCUCCAAAACUGCAUGACUAGAGUACGGUAGAGGGUAGUGGAAUUUCCUGUGUAGCGGUGAAAUGCGUAGAUAUAGGAAGGAACACCAGUGGCGAAGGCGACUACCUGGACUGAUACUGACACUGAGGUGCGAAAGCGUGGGGAGCAAACAGGAUUAGAAACCCCGGUAGUCC